CGAAAAUGUACUCUGUUUGUAGAGUUGCUCUAAGGAUAAACUAGAGUAUAUAUGCAAUUCAUGUUUGAUUUCAAAUUGUUGAAAGCUAAUUGCGCGCAAAUUUUAUCAUUAUUUUUGUCUUGUUAAUUGCAUUGAAACACAUUUGAAGUUGGCAAAAAAACUGUUUCUGGACAAGAUGAGCCUGCAUUAUUUGGUCACAGUUUUGAUUUGGAUAUUUUUAUAGAUCACGAAUUGAUAAAAUAAAUAAAGCUUGAAAUUCAUGAUGACUCUAAUGAAGUUUUUCUAAGGAUGAAGCUGUCUUAGAUAUUACAGCCAUGUUAAUUUGAUUUUACACUCAAUCUUAUGUUUAUACAUGAAACUUCCGAAAAGACUAAGAAUUUCCAAUAAUUCAACCAUAAUAUUGGCGCAACAUGACAGAAUCUGGCCAUUCCGCCAUAAGAAACCAAAGUAACCGAACGGAGAAUCAUUGCUAAAGGUUAAAUGGAUCUCAUUCUGCAGAAACGGUUUUUCACAAUGGUUCUUCCAAGGCGACUGUCCCCUCUCAAUACAGAAGACCCUUUCUUCCUUUUUCAUUGCAGUUUCUUUCUUUGCUGUUUCAUCAAAACGUGUUUUAUCUUCUUCACGUUCAAGCGCCCCUUCUUUGGCACGCUUACUAGGGUACUUGGAAACA